AGUCGGGACAAGGCUCCAAUAACUGUGUGGUAGGUGGAUCUUCACCUGGACAAGCAAGUCCAGUGACACCCACUACGGUUCAUGUUGCUUCGACCUCCCCGCAACACUGAUCACUUGAGGUAGUCUUCCAUGUUUGUCCAUUGUUGAUGCUUGCGUCUUCUCGUUGCUUGUGCUUCUCAACUUAAAACUUGUGCAUUGUUGAUGGUAGAGUCCACAAAUGUCGAUGCUUAUAUUGUACAUACUUCCUAGCUUCUAUUUGAGCCUCAUAUGUUGAUGCUUGUUAACUCUUUUUCCUUAUCCAUCUUUUCAACUUAUGUUUAGAAACUCAUGCGUGUGAUAAUGGACUUAUAGGUUUGCAUUGUGGGCGUUGACGGUGGGCAUAUAUGCUGCGGUGGAGCUCAUUGGUUCAUGCUUGGUGUGAACUUGGAACUCAUGAUCCUUUAAUUUGUGAACCUCUCGUUGCAUAUGUAUGUAUGUUGUUGUGAACCUUCGUUGGAUAUGUAUGCACUGUGUGGACCUGAAACUUACGGUCCUUUCGUUUGUGAUCUUUUGUUGCAUACGUAUGCAUAUGUGGACUCUGCACUCAUGUACGGCUGGAUAUAUGUAUUACUUGAUAUAUGCUUGUUGGUCAUGGUCAUGUACUGCUGGAUACAUAUAUUUGUUGGAUAUAUGUGCUGCUGGAUAGAUGUAUUACUGUAUAUAUGUUGUUGCUGCUCCCUGAAGUGAUAUAUGUGCUGCUGGAUAGAUGUACUAGUGUAUAUAUGUUGUUG
rnacentral:lncRNA from 1 species